rnacentral:rRNA from 1 species
GACGAACGCUGGCGGCGUGCUUAAUACAUGCAAGUCGAACGGAAAGGCCCUGCUUUUGUGGGGUGCUCGAGUGGCGAACGGGUGAGUAACACGUGAGUAACCUGCCCUUGACUUUGGGAUAACUUCAGGAAACUGGGGCUAAUACCGGAUAGGAGCUCCUGCUGCAUGGUGGGGGUUGGAAAGUUUCGGCGGUUGGGGAUGGACUCGCGGCUUAUCAGCUUGUUGGUGGGGUAGUGGCUUACCAAGGCUUUGACGGGUAGCCGGCCUGAGAGGGUGACCGGCCACAUUGGGACUGAGAUACGGCCCAGACUCCUACGGGAGGCAGCAGUGGGGAAUAUUGCACAAUGGGCGGAAGCCUGAUGCAGCAACGCCGCGUGCGGGAUGACGGCCUUCGGGUUGUAAACCGCUUGCGCCUGUGACGAAGCGUGAGUGACGGUAAUGGGUAAAGAAGCACCGGCUAACUACGUG